UGCAGAAUCCCGUGAACCAUCGAGUCUUUGAACGCAAGUUGCGCCCCAAGCCUUCUGGCCGAGGGCACGUCUGCCUGGGUGUCACAAACCGUCGUCCCUCUCAUUCUUCUCGGAUAUGGGACGGAAGCUGGUCUCCCGUGUGUUACCGCACGCGGUUGGCCAAAAUCCGAGCUAAGGGCGCCUAGAGCGUCACGACAUGCGGUGGUGAACUAAAGCCCCUUCGUAUUGUCGGUCGUUCUUGUCCGGAAACUCUCGAUGACCCAAAGUCUUUAAAGCGACCCCAGGUCAGGCGGGAUCACCCGCUGAGUUUAAGCAUAUCAAUAAGCGGAGGAGAAGAAACUAACAAGGAUUCCCUUAGUAACGGCGAGCGAACCGGGAAGAGCCCAGCUUGAAAAUCGGGUGUCUUCGACAUUCGA
rnacentral:rRNA from 1 species